ACGACUAGUGGCGGACGGGUGAGUAACGACGUGGGUAACCUGCCGUAUGCAGGGGGACAACAGUUGGAAACGACUGCUAAUACCGCAUAAGCGCACGGUAUCGCAUGGUACAGUGUGAAAAGAUUUAUCGGCAUACGAUGGACCCGCGUCUGAUUAGCUAGUUGGUGAGGUAACGGCCACCAAGGCGACGAUCAGUAGCCGACCUGAGAGGGUGACCGGCCACAUUGGGACUGAGACACGGCCCAAACUCCUACGGGAGACAGCAGUGGGGAAUAUUGCACAAUGGGCGAAAGCCUGAUGCAGCGACGCCCGCGUGAGCGAUGAAGUAUUUCGGUAUGUAAAGCUCUAUCAGCAGGGAAGAUAAUGACGGUACCUGACUAAGAAGCUCCGGCUAAAUACGUGCCAGCAGCAGC
rnacentral:rRNA from 1 species